AUUGAACGCUGGCGGCAGGCCUAACACAUGCAAGUCGAGCGCCCGGCGGACGGGUGAGUCAUGUCUGGGAAACUGCCUGAUGGGGGGGAAUACCGACUGGAAACGGUAACUAAUACCGCAUACCAUCAGAUGUGCCCCGGUUGGAUUAGCUGGUGGGUGGGGUAACGGCCCACCUAGGCGACGAUCCCUAGCUGGUCUGAGAGGAUGACCAGCCACACUGGACCUGAGACACGGUCCAGACUCCUGCGGGAGGCAGCAGUGGGGAAGAUUGGACAAUGGGCGCAAGCCUGAUGCAGCCAUGCCGCGUGUGUGAAGAAGGCCUGCGGGUUGUAAAGCACUUUCAGCGGGGAGGCGUUACCCGCAGAAGAAGCACCGGCUAACUCCGUGCCAGCAGCCGCGGUAAUAC
rnacentral:rRNA from 1 species